UACGUAGGGCGCAAGCGUUGUCCGGAAUUAUUGGGCGUAAAGAGCUCGUAGGCGGCCUGUUGCGUCCGCUGUGAAAUCCCGGGGCUUAACCCCGGGCUUGCAGCGGAUACGGGCAGGCUGGAGGCAGGCAGGGGAGAACGGAAUUCCCGGUGUAGCGGUGAAAUGCGCAGAUAUCGGGAGGAACACCGGUGGCGAAGGCAGGUCUCUGGGCCGAUACUGACGCUGAGGAGCGAAAGCGUGGGGAGCGAACAGG
rnacentral:rRNA from 1 species